rnacentral:rRNA from 1 species
GACGAACGCUGGCGGCGUGCUUAAUACAUGCAAGUCGAACGGAAAGACGCGGCGCUUGUGGGUCUCUCGUGUGGCGCACGGGGGAGAAACACGCGAGUAAACCCUCCCUGACUGUGGGAUAUCUUCAGGAAACUGGGGCUAAUACCCGGUAUGAUCUCUUGCUGCAUGGGGUUGAUUGGAAAGAUACGGCGGUUGGGGAUGGACUAGCGGCUUAUGAGCUUGAUGGGCGGGUUGUGGAUGACGAGGGCUUUGACGGGUAGCCGGCCUGAGAGGGUGACCGGCCACAUGGGGCCUGCGAUACGGCGCAGAAUCCUACGGGAGGCAGCAGUGGGGAAUAUUGCACAAUGGGCGGACGCCUGAUACAGCAACGCCGCGUGCGGGAUGACGGCCUUCGGGUUGUAAACCGCUUUCGCCUGUGACGAAGCGUGCGUGACGGUAAUGGGUCAAGAAGCACCGGCUAACUACGUG